rnacentral:misc_RNA from 1 species
GAUGAAGAACGCAGCGAAAUGCGAUAAGUAAUGUGAAUUGCAGAAUUCAGUGAAUCAUCGAAUCUUUGAACGCACAUUGCGCCCGCCAGUAUUCUGGCGGGCAUGUCUGUUCGAGCGUCAUUUCAACCAUCAAGCCCCAGGCUUGUGUUGGGGACCUGCGGCUGCCGCAGGCCCUGAAAACCAGUGGCGGGCUCGCUGUCACACCGGGCGUAGUAGAUUUUAUCUCGCUCAGGGCGUGCUGCGGGUUCCGGCCGUUAAAAAGCCUUUUUUACCCAAGGUUGACCUCGGAUCAGGUAGGAAGACCCGCUGAACUUAAGCAUAUCAAUAAGCGGAGGA